AGUGGGGAAUUGUUCACAAUGGGCGCAAGCCUGAUGACGCAAUGCCGCGUGGCGGAUGAAGGUCUUCGGAUUGUAAACUCCUGUUGCCAGGGACGAAUGGCUCCGACAUAAUACGUCGGAGAAUGACGGUCCCUGGUGAGGAAGCCCCGGCUAACUCUGGUCCAGCAGCCGCGGUAAUACAGAGGGGGCAAGCGUUGUUCGGAAUUACUGGGCGUAAAGGGCGCGUAGGCGGCCCGCUAAGUCGAACGUGAAAUCCCCAGGCUCAACCUGGGAACUGCGUCCGAUACUGGCAGGCUUGAAUCCGGGAGAGGGAUGUGGAAUUCCAGGUGUAGCGGUGAAAUGCGUAGAUAUCUGGAGGAACACCGGUGGCGAAGGCGGCAUCCUGGACCGGUAUUGACGCUGAGGCGCGAAAGCUAGGGGAGCAAA
rnacentral:rRNA from 1 species